ensembl:lncRNA
GCAGCCUGGGUUAGCUCUUCCUUGACUCCCACACACCUCAGCCAACUCAUCACUGCCCUGAUCUAAGCCUCCCCUGCCACCCCAGCCUGAGGCCUCUAGAAAUCAGGAGACACCUGCACGGGUAGAUGACGGCUGUCACAAAGUGAACUCAGAGAAAAGGAGGGGGAAGCCUUGGCAUUCACCUUCCACUUCAGCUCUCAGCCCACUAAUUUGGGGCAGUGAUGGGAAUACAAGUGAGAGCUAUGUCACCCUCUAGCUACGCUACAGCUAUAGGGUGACAGAGAAGCUGUUUGCCAAGCAGAUGUAGUGUAAUCGGACAUCUAUGGCUUUGAACGGACCCCCAGCACCAUCACCUGCACCCAUGCCUCCUUCCUUGGGGGAACUGCUGCUCUGCCAUGUCAGUCACGUGAUUCUAAUGAGAUGCCAGUCACCCCCAGUAGCAGCAGUCCAGGUCUAGCCAAUAUUGUUCCUCAUUCACUUGGCUAUAGCGAUUCAUCCAAGCAUGGGCAUAGGACCAUGUCUGCCCAGUCAGAGUCCUUCCCUGGGAUUUUCUUCAGUCUGAGUGUGGUAGAUGGGGCUACAGAUGUAAACCUUCCCUGAUACUUGGAGAAGGCCCCUGUUCAGAAGAAACAAUGAAGCCAAGCAGAGACAUACAGAGUGUGCACAUAGGGAGAAAAAAAUCCUAAUGGCAUCAUGUGAAUCGCGCAAUCCAGUAGUAGCUGAAUUAAGCUACUACUCAAUUACAUGUGCUGGUAAAUCCCCAGUUACAUGUGCUAGACAGUAAAUCCUCUUCAAAAAAAAAAAAAGAUAAUUCAAAUUACAUUCCUGUUACUUGCAACCCAAGAGUCUUGAUAAAUACAAUGGGUUAGCCAUAGAGCCUGCUCUCACUACUCUCAGACAUAGAACAAGUUUUAGCUUUUGUUUUCUUGAGAUGGAGUCUCACUCUGUAGCCCAAGUGGAGUACAUGGUGCUAUCUCAGCUCACCGCAACCUCCGUCUUCCGGGUUCAAGCAAUUUUCGUGCCUCAGCCACCCAAGUAGCUGGGAUUACAGGUGUGUGCCAGUGUGCCAACACACCUGGCUAAUUUCUGUUUUUUUGUUUUUGUUUUUGAGAUGGAGUCUCACUCUUGUUGCCUGGGCUGGAGUGCAGUGACACGAUCUCGGCUCACUGCAAUCUCCGUCUUCUGGAUUCAAGCGAUUCUCCUGCCUCAGCCUCCUGAGUAGCUGGGAUUACAGGCACCUGCCACUAUGCCCAGCUAAUUUUUUCUAUUUUUAGUAGAGGCGGGGUUUCACCAUUUUAGUCAGGCUGGUCUUGAACUCCUGACCUUGUGAUUCGCCUGCCUCGGCCUCCCAAAGUACUAGGAUUACAGGCAUGAGCCACUGCACCCAGCCUAAUUUCUGUAUUUUUAGUAGAGACAGGGUUUCGCCAUGUUGGCCAGGCUGGUUUCAAACUCCUGGCCUCAAGCGAUCCACCUGCCUCGGCCUCCAAAAGUGCUGGACUUACAGGUGUGAGCCACUGCACCUGGCCAUAACAAGCUUUUUAAAUGGGCAGUAAGGGUCUUUUCUUGCCAAAUGGAACAGGAGGAGGGAGCAGGUAGGUCUAGUCAGGAGCCAGCAAUAGAAGGAACCAGUGGAGUUGGGGCCAAAAAAAAAAAAAA